rnacentral:rRNA from 1 species
AUACGUAGGGUGCAAGCGUUAAUCGGAAUUACUGGGCGUAAAGCGUGCGCAGGCGGUUUUGUAAGACAGAGGUGAAAUCCCCGGGCUCAACCUGGGAACUGCCUUUUGGACUGCAAGGCUAGAGUACGGCAGAGGGGGGUGGAAUUCCGCGUGUAGCAGUGAAAUGCGUAGAUAUGCGGAGGAAAACCGAUGGCGAAGGCAAUCCCCUGGGCAUGUGCUGACGCUCAUGCACGAAAGCGUGGGGAGCAAACAGGAGUAGAUACCCUUGUAGUCCGCGCCCUAAACGAUGUCAACUGAUUGUUGGGUCUUCAGUGACUCAGUAACGAAGCUAACGCGUGAAGUUGACCGCCUGGGGAGUACGGCCGCAAGGUUGAAACUCAAAUGAAUUGGCGGGU